UUGUACAGAUUUGGAGCUCUGGCUGCUAGACAGUAUGGUGGCUGGUUAGGAAUCAGGAGCUCUGGAUUCAGGACUGUAUGGGGGCCAAGGGAGGUUUGCAAUGAAGGCAAUUACCUUAUAUACUGCUAAUUUAAAUGGUAAUUGUUCAGUUUAAGAGAAAUAAGUCGUUUCGAGCCAAAGAGUGCAUUACAGAAAAAUGCUUGUUUGAACUUUAAAACUAUUUAUAGCUUAUUAUAUUUCCAUUUUGUCAGCUUAAUGUAAAUAAAAUGCAUAGCGAUUAAAAAAA